UUAAAACUUGUUUUAGAUCUUUUUGUUUAACCGGAAACAGCUCUGAGAUCGCUAGCGCCAAACCCACCAGACUCCAUU